UCAUCGGCUUCGGCAACUUUGCUUUUGGUUUCUUCAUGAUGAAUCUGAGGAUUGUUGAGUUUUAAGGCAAAAAGUGAGGUCAGAACUUGACGUUGAAGAUCCCCAGUUUAUGAGGAAUUCAUCGCCUGUUGAGAACAGCCAUGCCGCUUGCCAUUGCUGUGGAGGUUCUUUUGGUGUAGCUGUUCCUACAACUUUCUCUGUACUAGAUGGUAACGAUUAAGGAAACAACGUUUAAAUUAGAUUGCACAUAGUGUAAAACCCUAGUAUCAGAUGUUUGAAUAUGAAUUUAGAAUGAAUGAAACAAAGAAGCAGAAUAAGCAACA